rnacentral:tRNA from 1 species
GUGCCUGUAGCUCAGCGGAUAGAGUAUUGGCCUCCGGAGCCAAGGGUCUGGGGUUCGAAUCCCCACAGGCACGCCA